rnacentral:tRNA from 1 species
GAUAGCUCAGUUGGUUAGAGCAUGGCGCUGGUAAUGCCCAGGUUGCAGGUUUGAUCCCUGUAUGGGACA